AAACUCCUACGGGAGGCAGCAGUGGGGAAUCUUGGACAAUGGGGGAAACCCUGAUCCAGCCAUCCCGCGUGUGCGAUGAAGGCCUUCGGGUUGUAAAGCACUUUAGCAGGAAAGAAAGGUCGCUGGUUAAACCCCGCGAUAACUGACGUACUGCAGAAAGCCGAUUCCGCC
rnacentral:rRNA from 1 species